GCGUUAAUCUCUUUCUGUUCACCGUCUUUGUAAAUAUCUCGUGUUUCAAUGCGGGCACGUACUGUAUGUAUGUACCAAAUGGUAUUUCCUUUACAACCAGCUGCGCUCUGUAGGCCGGGAAUUGCGGUAAUAUUGGAAGAAAAACAAAACCCACACAUAUGGAAAAGAGAGCGGACGGGAGCUCCACAGCUGCGCCGAAGGCGUCGGGCCUUGGGCCUUGUGCCGGUGCAGCCGCGUUUGCAUGAGGCUGGCCUUCAUCAAGCAUGUAUCACUUGACCUCUUACUGGUUUCCACUUUCUACUCUUAAGCUCACAUUAACAUAAGCAGGGAUGCAAGUCCAACCGAUAUCCUCCGGUACCGGUCCUACGAGACUGUUAUACAGCGCACUGGCGACACGGGUGUGGUGCUUCUCGACUCCACGCACACACACAUACACUCACGCAUUUGGUCACAAACCCAAGAACAAUUCUCAGGAAGAAGCGGGUCGCGCGGACUUUCACCAGCGUCCACGCACAGAAACCCCGACAAGGAAAACAAAACAAAAACAACAAAAAAAAGAAGAUAUGCAGCGGGAAAUUCUGUGACAUCGACUCGCCAUCAAAUAUUCCGCACACACUUGAAACAUAUUUCAACCGAUUAAAAGGCACUUUUUGAAUACAUAUUUGGAACACAAACAAAAUCCACUGCAUGGAAAAUAUGUACAGUAGUAGUAAUAAUGGAAUAAUCCCUACCUUUUAUUGAGCCGAGGCACAUAUUUGACAUUAGGAAAAGCUCAAGGCACACCACCUGACAAAAAGAUGUAAAUGUUGAAAAAUAUAAAAUCUAUAUUUAUUUUUUUUGCGAGGGGUGACCCCAAAAACGUUAAAUGAUGGUUCAUCCCCAACUUUAUGGCUUCAAAAAAGAAAACAAACAUUCAAAUGAUGAUUCAGUGCAUUUAUAAUGCGCAUUAAUUAUCCGCUGAUGUAUUCAUUUUUUUUUCCAUUUUUUUUUUUAUUUUAAUUGGGGGGCUUGGGGGGGAAGCAGCAAUUUAUCCCGGAAAUUAAAACAAAUACAAUUACGGUGGACAUCACUUAGCUGCAGAUUUUCACUAUUCACAGUUUGGCUUAGUCUCCCCCCCCCCUACUCACAAUAGACUGUUUUCCACCACGUGACUACAUCCGAGGCACGCGGCCAUGUUGGAUGGGUUCACUCGACUGACUCUAUUGCUUUUGCAUACAGGUCGAGUUACACAAAUGUUCGUACGACUGUUAAAAGUGACGCAUGAUGGCUAAAAAGACUGUCUACGCGAAUUUACCCGACCAAAAUGGCAACCGCGUUCUAAACCUGAAGGUGUGUGACGUCAGUUGAAAACAGUCUAUACCGUCUUCCAAAUAGUAGAAGAAUCUUCUGAUGUUGCUGGCCCAGAUAAUGUAGAUGAACAAAUGCAAGAAUUAUAUCAAUAAAUCCAUUUCCAGUUUGAUCAUUCCCAUAGCACACCUGAUCAUCUUUCAUGGCGCAGUGGCUGGGGAAUCAUCAACCGGAAGACAAACAAAACUUUAUUUUUAAAUUGAAAAAAAAAAAAUGUUAAAACCGUCCUGAUGAGUACAUAGUGUCAGUCAUUUGUCGUGUACUCGCUUGCAGAAUUCCGCAGCCUCGGGGAAAAAUUAAACUUGACACCGAUAACGUUUUGUGCGCUCUCCAACAACGCUUGCCGACAGAGGCAUGUCUUUAUGUAAAAAAAAUUAAUUUCCGGUGGUGGGUGGCGCAUAAGCACGGCGUCGUUAUAAACCACAUUGAUAGGCUGCGUAAGGACUGUAACAUUUGUAAAUGAGAGUGUACCCCUUUAAGAGCGGACGGGGGCAGUGCAAGGUAAACUAGGAAGAAGAGCCAGGCUGGCGUCUUUUUUUUUUUUUUUCAAGGCACGCCGUGAUGUGAUCAACCAAAACACGACAAAUGACUACCAUCGUGUAAGAUUAGCUGAUUUUCCUCAGGCGCGGUGGUUUCAAUACAAAUUAGAGGCACAAGAUGGGGGCACAGACGGCAGAUUUUUCAAAAAGAUCAUUUAAAUCACGUAGUAAUACACCUGUCAAGUAACACCGACAAACUCAACACGUAUGACAAAGAGUGAUUUUUAUUUUAUUUUGAUUGCACACGCCCCCUCAAAUAGCUCUCCGUACAUUUAAAUGCCUUUUAAAUAUGUGUCAACAGACACAAAAAAUGUAUGUUUAACAGGAAAAUCUGCAUUAUAUCAGGACCACGAUAGGUGAACGGCAAUAUAGCGAGGGAUUACCCGCACUAGGCGUGAAACUGUUACGUUCUUAAACUCAGCGCACAGGCGAGGCCGCAAUAGGCCGUAGCUGCUAAAUAGGCAAGCGAGCCGUUCAGUGGUCCUUACUGUAUUUAUCUUAUUACCUCGUUAUCCAGUCUUUGUGUUUUACAGUCAAGUGUGUGUACUGUAGAAGUGUAGGAUGACAAAAAAAAAUAUGAAUAAUGAUCAUAAAAGUAGUCGACAUAAGCUUUUACUGUCCAUAAGCUACAAAUGCCGAGGGAGAGGUCGCCUCCCUCUUUGUCAAAGGUACAAACUCCAAGACUGUUACUGUGUUGUGUCCGCAUGCACGCGCUAAUGUGAUUGUUUUUCUUUUUGUAACUCAUCAGCAAAGCGGGCGUCUUAAGAAACGUGUAGCAAAGCGCAGAGGUCACGCGACGCGGCAGGUUGAAACGCGCGGCGCCGAGCGUUUUCCCGCUUGUGACCUUUUGACCCGCGCUGUACCCCACACAACGCAACGCAACACGCAUGAUGUAGUAACGCUGUAAGGCUUUCCAUAAAGUCCAUUUUCUGUGCCGCUCGUCAAAAUGCGGAGCGCACCCUGGCGUGGUCUCGUUUCCGCCAUCACCGAGCGGGAGGGAACCCGACCCACGCCGGCCACGUGACGCUCAGAGAAUCAAUGUUACCGCUGAACAGAAAGGAUUGCCGGAUUCAAACCCACAACCUCAUAAAUGUGCGGCUGAUCUGUUCAUCGCUGUUUCACGGUGAUAUUUGUAUUGGCAGCAGUCAGCAAGACGAAAGCCGAGCGUGAAAGCUCCCCGAUGGCCGCCCUCGCUUGCAGUACGUCCGUCCAAGAGGGUUCUGACCCCUCUCGGAAACUGCUGCGUCCAAGUAAACCGGCUACAUAUUUUUUUGUUGAUGUUGUUUUUUUUUCCCUGAGACAU